GCGGACGGAGUAUGUCCUGUCAUUUUAACGUUGAAACAGUUCGCACUGUUCGCAGCCGUCUUCGAGUAGACUUCAGAUUCUAAUCCCUGCUGAAUAUAAAACGACAUUGGAAAAGUUCGCGGCGGCCCUGUCUUCGAAUUGAUGUAAUUUUUUCUCCAUAUUCUAUUCUGCUGAAUAUAAAACAACGAGAAACGGCACGAAAGGAUCGUUCAUCGUUGGAUUUCUUUACUAAGAAUGCGACGAAUACGAGAUGGUUGGCUCAAAAUGAUUGCUGUCGCGAUUUAUUAAAUUGAUGCUGUUACAAAUCAAACAAUGGGAAGAGAAGAGAAAUGAAAAGCAGGCUUGACAAUUUUGUGAGGAGGAGGAAGAGGAGGCCCAAGAAAAGCAAUGGAUCAAUUUUACGAAUCAUGUAAUGCACAUAGCUGAUAACUCCACUGCUGCGCAUCAAUCGGUCUUUUAUUGGAACGCCCAGUCACUGGCCGCGAUCAAACCAUUAGCCAGUUAGUGAAGAUGCAGUAAAAUAUAAUGGAGACUUUGCACAGCUCUGUACUACUGAGAGGUUGGGGCAUCGGUCGGUGAGUGACAAAAAUUUUAUCAGGUAACGAAUCUGUAUAAAAUGUACAGAUCUAUCAUUAUAUUAAAAAUGAAUAUAACGCUUUAUAAACCCAUUACUUGAAAAUGAAUUAGCUACAAACGAU